rnacentral:tRNA from 1 species
GACCGAAUGGCGCAGUGGUUAGUGACCCUGAGUACUGAGCCGAUGGUCCCGGGUUCGAUUCCCGGCUGGGGCA